UGUCCAAACUCCAGCUGAGAUAGAUGAAGGAUUUCCGCUAACCCGGCCCCGAUGGGAUUAUAAUACGGCAUCAGGUUACACCCCAACAGCCAGCCCUUGUUCGCUUUCGAAUGGCGAGACUCCGAGAGUGGACAAGCCGGACAGCUCACAUGGA